GAUGAACGCUAGCUACAGGCUUAACACAUGCAAGUCGCGGGGCAGCAUGGGGGUUGCUUGCAACCCCUGAUGGCGACCGGCGCACGGGUGAGUAACGCGUAUCCAACCUGCCCUUCACCACGGGAUAACCCGGCGAAAGUCGGACUAAUACCGUAUGUUGUCCAUUGACGGCAUCCGAUUGGGACGAAAGGCUUGGCGGCGCAAGGAUGGGGCUGCGUGCGAUGAGCUUGACGGCGGGGUAACGGCCCACCAUGGCUACGUUCAGUAGAGGUUGUGAGAGGAAGGUCACACACACUGGAACGGAGACCCGGUCCAGAAUCCUAAGGGAGGCAGCAGUGAGGAAUAUUGGUCAAUGGGAGUAAGCCUGAACCAGCCAAGUAGCUUGCAGGAGGCCGGCCCUAUGGGUUGUAAACUGCUUUUAUGCGGGGAUAAAGUGGCCCACGUGUGGGCUUUUGCAGGUACCGCAUGAAUAAGGACCGGCUAAUUCCGUG
rnacentral:rRNA from 1 species